GCCAGGCAUGGUGGCUCAUGCCUGUAAUCCUAGCACUUUGGGAGGCCGAGGUGGGUGGAUCACUUGAGGCCAGGAGUUCAAGACCAGCCUGGCCAACAUGGUGAAACCCCAUCUCUA
rnacentral:sRNA from 1 species